rnacentral:lncRNA from 7 species
GGAAGGAGUUGGAUCUGUAAGCUGUUGGCUGAGGAGGGCUCGCUAGCACCACAUUGCUACCAGAUGUGUGUGAUUUGCUGAUGGAGUUGUUUUGUGAUGAGUCAUUGAAGUUAGAGGUUGAAAAGGAAGGGUUUUGCCAGUUCUGGCAUUCAGUAAAAUGUGAGUAGCUGUCUUUUUCUUCCUGGACUUUGAGAGCACUUCUUGCUUUUGAUUUCUUCUAUGUGUGCAGCAGGAUUUCUCAAGAGUUGUUGCUGUUGAAGCCAAGUUAAUACCAAUCUUCAACUGUUUAGUUAUCUAUUUCUUAUGUUUUGAUGGUUGCAUUUCUUCCCUUUGAUUGUUCUUGUCCAAAGCGCCCCUGGGUCCCAGACUGAUGGCAUUACUCUGGCCCUGGUGGAUCUUACACAGUUAUCAGCAUCUGGAGUCCUUUGCCAGGUUCAUGUUGAUGGUUUCUUCUUUCCAAAAAUUUAACUGGUGGAAUGAAUAUACAACUUACAUUUCUUGAUGUAUCUCACAUGUCUUACAUGACGUGUUUUUGUGCAAGUUGUUUUUGUUUGUUAGUUUCCCUGGCACAAAAGACACUAAUAUGUGCAUUACGUAAUAUUUGAACUCCUAAACCACAGCUUCAUUUGUACCUCUUGCCUUACCUGAGAAUAAAGAAUUCUUGCUAUAUUAAGAAGUCCUUUUGAUUUUGAUUGAUACCAGUCCUUCUCAAAGAGAAAGAUUGCAGAGAUGAAUGGGACCAAACUCAUCAGUUAUUUCAGCAAAAUCUACAUGCGGAUGAGCUGAAGCCAAGGAGUGAGUUGGUUAUGUAUAGGAGCUGUCCCACAGAUGCUGGAGAUAGUGGGAAGUGACUGAAACCUGUUCUACCAGAGAUGUGCUGCCCAAAGAUGAUUGUCAAAAUCAGCAAUUGGGAUACCUUUAACAAGUAAAAACCAAUCAGCAUCCCUGAUGAAGAAGUAUGUGGAAUGCUCUGCUUCCAUUUUACCCAAGUUGGCUUUUGGAGUAGGCUUCUCUUGAAAAUUCAAGCUAUGUUCUUCAUUCUAGUAAUGGACAUUCCACUUCUACACCAAAAAUGUUCUGUUAUGUAUUCCACCUUCUGCUUUCAUCUCUCAUGAAGAAAAAUACAGACCUCCUGGAUAAACUUUCUCAUCUCGCUGCAGACCUCUCUGAUGCACAUCUGUGCCAUUCUCUGGAUUUCUUUUUGUCGACAAUGGGAAUGAAGUGAUUCAUCUCAGUUUCUCCCCAGCAACAGCAAGGAGAGCCUACAGUAAUUCAAAUGUGAACACCUACACAGAACUCCCUCCCCAUCUUGCAUAAGGGUCAAAAUGCAUACUGAAUUUGGCUUGUUCUCCACUCUGAAAAAGGAAGGAGCUAUCAACUCACGUUCUUCCUCUUUUCCAUGUUAGCUAAAUCUGUUGGCAACUGAAAAGAGAGCAGAGAUUUAUAGCCUGGUUUUCUCAUGUAGCCACGUUUCCUCAUGUAUCAGUAUAUAUCUGUCUACUUUGUUCACUGUUAGUUUCUUUGGACAAUUUUAACUGCAUUUGUCAGAGGAGUAGAAGUAAUAAGUAAUAUCACAUUUUGCAUUUAAGCAAAGGUGGACAUGGCAAGGGUGUCUGUGUCACUUUUUCCAUUAAUGAAAAUGCUUGUUUUGUUUUCAACAUAAGGAAAUACCUUAAUGAGAAAGAUGUCAUGAACAUGUGGAAACUUCUCUUGAAUCAGACUUCUGUCGAGUUGGAGAAAUAUAGAAAUAUAUAACCU